rnacentral:rRNA from 1 species
AGUGAACGCUGGCGGUAGGCCUAACACAUGCAAGUCGAACGGCAGCACAGUAAGAGCUUGCUCUUACGGGUGGCGAGUGGCGGACGGGUGAGGAAUACAUCGGAAUCUACUUUUUCGUGGGGGAUAACGUAGGGAAACUUACGCUAAUACCGCAUACGACCUACGGGAGAAAGCAGGGGAUCUUCGGACCUUGCGCGAUUGAAUGAGCCGAUGUCGGAUUAGCUAGUUGGCGGGGUAAAGGCCCACCAAGGCGACGAUCCGUAGCUGGUCUGAGAGGAUGAUCGGCCACACUGGAACUGAGACACGGUCCAGACUCCUACGGGAGGCAGCAGUGGGGAAUAUUGGACAAUGGGCGCAAGCCUGACCCAGCCAUACCGCGUGGGUGAAGAAGGCCUUCGGGUUGUAAAGCCCUUUUGUUGGGAAAGAAAAGCAGCAGGUUAAUACCCCGCUGUUCUGACGGUACCCAAAGAAUAAGCACCGGCUAACUUCGUG